rnacentral:lncRNA from 1 species
UUGUCCACAGACAACAGUCACCAACUAUCACGUGAUCUUCGAAUUUUCUCACGUGACAUUGAUAUAUCAACUUUUCGUUUUCUUUCCGGAUAACGGCACACAUUACAAAAUGGAUUUUACGUUGCCAAUUACUAAGAAAAACAAAUUUACAAAACAUGCUAAGAAACUUCUAUGUAAUGAUGUGAACUUCUCGAAUUGGUAAUAUAACAUGUAAAAUCUAC